AGCGAACGCUGGCGGCAGGCCUAAAACAUGCAAGUCGAACGCCGUAGCAAUACGGGAGUGGCAGACGGGUGAGUAACACGUGGGAACGUACCCUUUGGUUCGGAACAACACAGGGAAACUUGUGCUAAUACCGGAUAAGCCCUUACGGGGAAAGAUUUAUCGCCAGAGGAUCGGCCCGCGUCUGAUUAGCUUGUUGGUGAGGUAACGGCUCACCAAGGCUACGAUCAGUAGCUGGUCUGAGAGGAUGAUCAGCCACACUGGGACUGAGACACGGCCCAGACUCCUACGGGAGGCAGCAGUUAGGAAUCUUGGACAAUGGGCGCAAGCCUGAUCCAGCCAU
rnacentral:rRNA from 1 species